AGCAGCCGCGGUAAUUCCAGCUCCAAUAGCGUAUAUUAAAGUUGUUGCAGUUAAAAAGCUCGUAGUUGAAUUUCGGGAUCAAUACGUCGGUCGUGCUUCGGUACGUACUGGCGUAAUUGAUUUCUCCCUUCUGGCGAACCAUGAUGUCAUUAACUUGGUGUCAUGGGAAAUCAGGACUGUUACUUUGAAAAAAUUAGAGUGUUUAAAGCAGGCUUUAGCUUGAAUACAUUAGCAUGGAAUAAUGAAAUAGGACGUUUGAUCCUAUUUUGCUGGUUUCUAGGAUUGACGUAAUGAUUAAUAGGGAUAGUUGGGGGCAUUAGUAUUCAAUUGUCAGAGGUGAAAUUCUUGGAUUUAUUGAAGACUAACUACUGCGAAAGCAUUUGCCAAGGAUGUUUUCAUUAAUCAAGAACGAAAGUUAGGGGAUCGAAGACGAUCAGAUACCGUCGUAGUCUUAACCAUAAACUAUGCUACUAGGGAUCGGAUGAUGUUAAUUUUUUAAUGACUCAUUCGGCGCCUUACG
rnacentral:rRNA from 1 species